ACGGUCUUUUUGACCCUCAAGAAACCAGCAUCUUCUUUGAUGAGCUCAACUUCGCGUGGGUAAGUUAAAGCAAGCUCUCCUAGUGGACCUUUGACUUUCAAGUCUUGACCUUCCAAUGCAAUGGUUACAUUGGUUGGUACAGCGAUAGGUUGCUUCCCUAUCCUUGAUUCCUUACACUGGAUAGUCUUCCUUGAGUAACCCACUUGAGCUGAAGGCGUGGCUGAGACCUUGAACACGUUCCUAUCUCCCAAAAAUGCUGACCUAAAAAAGCAUCUCAUAUCUUCAGACAAACAAACAAAAACAUGUCUACACAGUUAAAGAACCAACAGACAGGAACUAACCAAAUAUGUCAAUAGAAAUUUAAAAUUAAGUUUUGCGAAUCCUGAAUUAAAAACAAAAAAAAAACAAAUCACCAACCAAGUUCACAUUCGUAUCGAUUUCGAAAUAGAAAACUAAAAUAUGAUUCUUUACACUCUAGGGGACUCGUGAUUAUGAAAUUAAAGAAAGCUGAACGCUAAUGGAAUUAUCGACGGUGAUGCUCCCAACUCCACCGAGGACGAGAUUCUUCAACGCCUCGGAGCCAGUGGGGCCGCAAUUGAGCAAACAGAUACUCGCUUCUUCCAAAGCAGCUUGCCCUACCUCCCCCCAUAUCCUGCGAUUCGAUGCGAUUACUUACGUAGAGCGAUAGAAUUAUAAAGAGAGAAGAGAAGGGCGGCGUAUACCUGAGUUGACGAUCGUACUUGGUUUUAGCCUCUGACAUUGUUGUUGCUUACUCUCUUCUCUCGUUCGCUUCUUCGCAGACGAAAGAGCGAGAGAGAACAAGAGGCGGCUCUUGGGCCAAGCUAAUGGGCUUCCUGCCGAUUCAUUUAAUAACUAUUUUCGGCCCAAAACUAAUGUAUCCAUAGCCGUACAGAUUGUGGGCUUCUCUUCCAGUCAACUCAGGUUCGAAUCUCCUUGGAAUCAUUUAUCCUUCUUCUUUUCUUUUUCUUUCUUUCAAAAACAGCCUAUUUCAGGACCCGACUCUGCAACGAGAGAUUUGGGUCUGUGACCAUUCGGAAAAUAAAAGGAACGAAUAUAAAAGGAAUGUACGGAAAUAAAAUAGCAGGAUGAAAAGGAACGAUUGUUCCUUCUCAAAUUUAACAAGAAAUAAUUUUCUUCUUUUAAUUCUCUACAAAAAAAAUAAUCGUCUAUUUAAUCUUUUUCAUAUCAUAAUUGUAAUAUCAUAAUAAAUCAGCGUUAAAAAAAAAGAAAUGAAAAGAAAUUAUUAUUCCUGGUGAAUGGUGAUUUAUUUUUACGAACAUUAGAGAAUGCAUUAUUCAUUGUCGUUCCUUGGUCACCAUUCAUAUCGUUAAACAAUUUUUAACUAAUUUGCAAAUAGUUUCUCCUUUUUUACUAACAUUUUUUCUCAAAGAUUUACUUUUUUUAAUAACCUUUUUUUCACUCAGUAGUUUGCAAGCAUUGAAUCAUGGAGAGAAUAGUUUCACAAUUUUAGUUUUUUUUUCUAAAAAAAAAGAUUUGAGCAAAUACACAUUUCAACAUAGAAAGGAGAACAUGUAAAGUAAAAUACACAACAACAACAAGAAGAAGACACAAAGAUCACUUCUUCUUUCCAGCUUUGCCUUCUUUCCUCCUCACAAUCUCAUCUGAAUACUUCACUCCCUUACCCUUGUACGGCUCCGGAGGCCUCCACUUCCUCACCGUCGCAGCAAACUGCCCUAUCUCACUCUUGUCGUAUCCACUCACCGUGAUCCUCGUGUUCUCUUCCACUUUCACCUUGAGACUCUCCGGUAUCUGCAUCUUAACCGGGUGAGAAAACCCGAGGUUCAGAACCAGUUCCUUCCCUUCCACGGUUGCACGGUAACCAACUCCCACUAGUAUCAGCUUCUUCUCAAACCCCUUUGAUACUCCCACUACCAUGUUAUCCGUUAGCGUCCUAUAACACAAGAGGUUACGAAAGGGUUAGCAGCAAUAAACAACCCCUAAAGUUCAAGACUUUGUGUAACCAAUUGAUAAAAAGUUGAGAACUUUGUAACCUCAAAAGUUCUAAGACUUUUGUUUGUGACCAAUUGAUAUAGUAAAGGUGAGAGCUUUGUUAACCUGAAGAGGCCGUGCAUUUGGUUAGCUCUUCUAGUUUCGACGGUCUUUUUGACCCUCAAGAAACCAGCAUCUUCUUUGAUGAGCUCAACUUCGCGUGGGUAAGUUAAAGCAAGCUCUCCUAGUGGACCUUUGACUUUCAAGUCUUGACCUUCCAAUGCAAUGGUUACAUUGGUUGGUACAGCGAUAGGUUGCUUCCCUAUCCUUGAUUCCUUACACUGGAUAGUCUUCCUUGAGUAACCCACUUGAGCUGAAGGCGUGGCUGAGACCUUGAACACGUUCCUAUCUCCCAAAAAUGCUGACCUAAAAAAGCAUCUCAUAUCUUCAGACAAACAAACAAAAACAUGUCUACACAGUUAAAGAACCAACAGACAGGAACUAACCAAAUAUGUCAAUAGAAAUUUAAAAUUAAGUUUUGCGAAUCCUGAAUUAAAAACAAAAAAAAAACAAAU
rnacentral:lncRNA from 1 species